UCUGUCACUGAUGAAUGAUUAUACCUACAUUGUUUGAUCUUCGAAAUGAGAGAAAACACUAAACUGAGACUCGA